AUGAACGCUGGCGGCGUGCCUAAUCCCUGCAAGUCGAGCGAACGGACGAGAAGCUUGCUUCUCUGAUGUUAGCGGCGGACGGGUGAGUAACACGUGGAUAACCUACCUAUAAGACUGGGAUAACUUCGGGAAACCGUAGCUAAUACCGGAUAAUAUUUUGAACCGCAUGGUUCCAAAGUGAAAGACGGUCUUGCUGUCACUUAUAGAUGGAUCCGCGCUGCAUUAGCUAGUUGGUAAGGUAACGGCUUACCAAGGCAACGAUGCAUAGCCGACCUGAGAGGGUGAUCGGCCACACUGGAACUGAGACACGGUCCAGACUCCUACGGGAGGCAGCAGUAGGGAAUCUUCCGCAAUGGGCGAAAGCCUGACGGAGCAACGCCGCGUGAGUGAUGAAGGUCUUCGGAUCGUAAAACUCUGUUAUUAGGGAAGAACAUAUGUGUAAGUAACUGUGCACAUCUUGACGGUACCUAAUCAGAAAGCCACGGCUAACUACGUG
rnacentral:rRNA from 1 species